UUAAAACUAUAAGGAUUAUUAGUGCUCUAAUAUAUAAAUUUAAAGGACGAUUUUGAGUCUUUUGCCAAACGUAAGGGACUAAUUUGGACCUUCUCUCAAACUUGGUUGCAUUCAAAAGUGAUUUUUUUUGGGUGUGGUAAGUCCUAGGGUAGAACAAGAGGAAGAAAUCUGAGAGAGUAGUUGUUCCACCUUACUUGGGUCAUAGGUUCAUUUGCAUGCUGAUACUUCCCGUUUAAAUUUUUUAGUAGAUGAAAUUCUUGAGUGGAGAACCUUUUUGAAUGGUACCAGAAAUUCUUGGUUCACUAUUGCAUCAUUGCUCUAAGACCAAGGCAUUCCAUUAUGGCCUUUCUCUACAUGCAGCUGCAAUCAAGUCAGGCUUACAAGGUGAUGUUUUCAUAUCCAAUCACAUCCUCAACAUGUAUGCUAAGUGUGGAAAUACUAACUUUGCCAGUCAGGUUUUUAAUGAGAUGUCCAAAAGAAAUCUCGUUACGUGGUCAGCCAUGAUAUCUGGUUAUGAUCAAGACGGUAAGCACCUCAUGGCUAUCAGCCUCUACUCCCAAAUGCCACUAGAGCCUAAUGAAUUUGUCCUUGCUAGUGCUCUUAGUUCAUGUGCUAAUCUCUUGGCCCUGAAACUUGGUAAACAAAUACAUGCUCAGUCUAUCAAAUUAGGCUGUUCAUCCAUUUCGUUUGUUUCCAACUCGCUGAUCUCAAUGUACAUGAAAAAUGGUCAAUGUAGUGAUGCUCUAUCAGUUUUCACAAGAACACCUAAUCCAACUGAUGUCUCUUACAACACAAUCAUAAUGGGUUUGGUAGAAAGUAAUCAAAGAGAGAAAGCAUUUGAAGUCUACAAAAGUAUGUGCCAACAAGGAUUGGUGCCGGACCGCUUCACCUUUGUGGGUUUAUUUGGAACUGAUGAUUUGGGAAAGGGAAUGCAAUUGCAUAGUCAAACAAUCAAGCUCAAUCUUGACGGGACUGCCUUUAUAGGAAAUAUAAUAAUGACAAUGUACUCAAAUUUAAACUUGUUAGAUGAAGCUGACAAAGUUUUCAGAUCAAUCAAAGAGAAAGAUGUGAUUUCAUGGAAUACUUUCAUUGCUGCUUGUUCUCGUUGUGAUGAUCAUUCGAAGGCUUUGGUUAUUUUCAAAGAGAUGGUAGAAUAUUUUGAUGGAAGGCCUGAUGAGUUUACCUAUGCUAGUCUGCUUUCUGCAUCUGCUGGCAUGGGUUCUAUGCAAUUUGGGCGGCAAAUACAUGCUCAUCUUAUUAGAACAAACUCAAAUGUAGAUAUUGGUGUUGGCAAUGCCCUUGUGAACAUGUAUGCUAAAUGUGGCUGUAUUCGGUAUGCAUAUACAGCUUUUAGGCUAAUGACUUGUCAUAAUCUUGUCUCGUGGAAUAGCGUCAUUGCUGGAUUUGCUAACCAUGGCCAUGGAAAAGAAGUUAUAAAAUUGUUCGAGGAGAUGAAGAGUGUUGGUUUAAAGCCUGAUUCUGUCACAUUUCUCGGACUUCUAAUCGCUUGCAAUCAUGCAGGGCUUGUAAAUGAGGGCCUAGAUUACUUCAAUACCAUGAAUGAGAUUUAUGGAGUUACUCCUGACAUUGAACAUUUCUCUUGCCUCAUUGAUUUGCUAGGACGAGCUGGGAGACUGAAAGAUGCUGAAGAAUACAUGCAAAGGUACCCCUUUGGGAAUGAUUCAGUUGUUUUAGGUUGCUUACUUUCAGCUUGUCGGCUGCAUGGUGAUGUUGUAAUUGGGGAAAGAAUGGCUAAAAAACUCCUGCAGCUUCAGCCAGUUUCUACUUCACCUUAUGUUUUGUUAUCAAACUUAUAUGCUUCAGAUGAGAAGUGGGAUAGUGUAGCAGAGGCAAGAAAAAUGUUAAAGAGUUGCGGUUUAAAGAAGGAGGCUGGUCAUAGUCUCAUUGAAGUGAAGGGAGUUGUUGAAAAGUUCACAAUUGGCAAUUUCUCUAAGUCAAGGAUCGAGGAAAUCGUGAGUGUCCUUGGAACUUUAGGCUGUGGAUGGGAUGAAGAAAUUAUUCUCCUUGAUUCAGCGUAAGAAAGGCAGUUAUUUUCCUCAUACCACUGAUUCAGCAUUAAGCUCGGCAUGUUCGAAGGGUUUCUGAAAUGACAGAUUUUACUGAACUAACUAAGGUAUGGACUUAUCUUUUUGAUCUGCUUCUUUCAAACUGCUUUUGGUCUUUCCAAAUUUGAUCCUUGGAGAUGGAAUGUUGCAGUGGCUUCGUUCAUGAUGUAAUUGGAAGGCAUGGUUGUUGUGUGAUACAUAUGCUAGCACUCGUGGAAGUACAUCAUCCAUAUGCAUCAGCAGAUCAUCAAAGAUGAACUAUGUUUAUAUCUGUUCAAAAAGAAUCUGUAGCAAUAAACAGCUGGGCCAAAGGGAGUUGCAGCAAAGCUGUGAAUUUUUGGAGAAAUAUUCUUGAAACGCAAUUGUCUGAGUUGUUGGAUAAUGAAAUCUAAUUGUACGAGGCUCAAGCGUGAAUUGCACGUAGUCUGGAAGUGUUACCCUGGUCAUCCUUUUUGUUUAAGACAUCCUCCUUUUUCAAUUUCUUGAGGUGUUCCACCAAAACUUUGAAGGCCUCGAAUUGGUAGUUCAUUUACUGCGAGGUGAAGAGCUGUCUAUUUCGAGCCGUAUAAUCCGUAAUGCAAUCAGGAGAAGCUGCAAUGAGUUCUGUAAUUACUCGAACUCUUCCCUUAAUAACUGCUUAAUGUAGAGGAACCCUUUGUUCUCUUCCUUUGAUCCGGCAAAGAUUAUGGUCUAAAUUUAGCUGCUCCUUUACAAUAUCCACAUUCCCAUUAGCUGAUGCAAUAUGAAGUGGGCUUAGACCAUCUUGGUUCAGUUCUGCAGCAAAUUUCUGCAGCAAAUUCUCUCCUAAGUUUAAUCAUCUCUCUUGCAAAAUGAACAUGUCCUACAAUACAAGCAAUAUGUAGAGGAUUUUCUCCACCUGCUAAUGCAACAGUGUCCAGUAAAAGGGGGCCAGUAAGUGUCCUGCCAAACGCCUCCUGGUGGACUAAGCACUGUUUGAUAAGUUUCUGUUGCAAUUAGAAUAGCUAUCACAAGAAGGGUGGUGUCUCUUACUUCUCUGAGACAAACUUUGGUUUUAUUGUACUUGAAGAAAUCCCGAAGCUUCUUAGAACGAGAUCGAGGCCUGUCCCUUCUUUGCUCUCUCUGCUGGAUUGUUCAUUUAAUGGAUCUUGAACUGGAACAACCGACGAUUGGGGCAAAGCUUCUUGUUGUGAAG